UUUAAUGAUAAAACCGAAUAGGAAGUGCUGUCAGAUUUGAAAACUGAUGAUCCUGUUCUGAUUCUGACU